CCCUUUAUGAAUAUGAACAAUGAGGCCUCCCAGGAAGAAUUGCUGCACGGGUGGGGGCAACGUAAGAAAUGAGGCAGCAGCUCUGGAUUUACAGAGGGGCAAAAGCAGACAGAUCUGCCUUCAAAUCCUGACUUGCUUCUGACAUAGCCUCUAACCUGCACCUUUACCCUUUAGAAAACAAGGAUCCCUUGAAGGAUCGUCAUGAAGAUUCAAGGAAAUAUGGCACAUGUUCAUCUGCUCCUGCCUCCGCUAAGGGCGACUUGGAGACGGACCUCUGAUCUCCCGGUUCCACUUCAGUGAGCGCUCAGCACGGCGGCUGUCAUUUGCAGACACUGAAGAGUGCGCUAAUAGAAUCACAGCCCUCGUUAGCUACUGAAUAAAAGAUCAAUCACAGACUUUGAAAGCUCCUGCUACCAGCUUCCAGAGGAAACAAGAAAAAAAAAAAAGAGCGUGAGCAAGAGAGAAAGAUAUUUAGGAUCAUCGCUGAGAUUCUGAAUGGCCUCGCUGCAAGUUGCUUAAAUUACCUUUUCCACAACUGACUCCAACUGUAAUACUCAGAGGAACUUGUUAAGCCUGCCUUCAAGAGCAGCAUUCUAAUAUAUGACUGCUAGACCCUGGUCAAAAGUUCAUAAUGUGCAUAUGUAAAAAGGUACUAAAUUGCCUGAGGGCUAAAACCAGAGGAGUUUAAUUGUAGCAAAAUGCUGAAAAUGGUCUGUUGAGGGUCCUUCCAUUGGGAUACUGCUGGCUCUAGCUGAUUGAAGUACAGAACAUAAAAGUCUUACAACAAUAUUUCCUUAAAUGCUGGGGAAACUGCCAGCAGUUGGUAUUGCAUGAAUGUUGUGGUUAAAGAAAAACAUUUUCCUCCCCUAAAAUAAAUAGAGUAUUAAAAACUGCUCCAGCCCAUAAUUCUAAAGCAUGACGGGAAAAGGGAGGGCUCGACGAUCAUAAAUAAGUUCCUCAUUUGGAAAACGGACAGUGCAAGAGCAGCAGACGAUGACUCAGAAUGCUGGGAGGGGCUGUGUCAAAUACAGGAUGCCCAGGAGAAGCUAGAAUUGGACAGUUCUGCAGAAUGUAUACUCAUUCAGUGAAAAUCACAGUGAAUCUCCUAUUGUAUCAAAUACAUUUCAUAUCUUCACAUUACAGACUAACAUGAGGACCCAUCCCUGGUCAGGAGGACUUGCCAAAGUCCAGAAAGAGGGAAGAAAAGGAUGACGAAAGGAUGCAAACAGAAAAAGAACGAAGAAAAGACAAACUUAUCCGUAAUAAAUGCUAUGGCUUCAGGCAGGUCAAGAAAAAUCAUCAAGUCCUGUGAGUAAAUCUACCACAAUGUAGCAGGGUCCCCAAAAGGCACUGAAAUCUAAAACAAAAUUCAAGUUGUAGAGUGUGGUAGCUGGCCCUGAUCACCCCUGCCUCUCAGGAUUCAUACCACUGUGAAAUCCUUUCCCCUUUAACAACGAUCAGACUCAGUGAUUUCCUUCUAACAAAAAGAAUAUGGCAAAAGCAGUAAGACGUCACUUCCGUGGUUACAUUACAAAGAACUGUGACUUUCAUUUUACCAAUGGAUUCUAUUUCCUUCUUGGCUUACAUGCUUCGAUAAAGCCAGCAGCCAUGAUGGAGAUCCCUACGUGGCAAGGAACCAAACACCAGGCAGGAAAGGAAGCCUUCAAUCCACUGGGCCAUAAGGAACUGAGUCCUACCAGCAAGCACGUGGGCUUGCAAGUGGAUCCUUCCCUGCUGAGUCUUGAGAUUGUUACCUGGUAUAAUGCCUACUUGACAUAGGUGAAUUUCUACCCUGUAAUAACACUGCUUAUCUUUAAGAAACAGGACACCUGUGAUAAAAAGUUCCCUCUGUAACCAGACCAGCUGAGAUUUGUUAGAAGCAAGAUAGCCGACCCAAGGACUUCAAAAAGACCUCAGGUGUCAUUAUAAUCCUAUUUCCAUGCUAAACAGCCCCCUCACCAGCGCCAAGACAGUUGACAAUCACCAUGACAAUGAUCAGAAGCAGCCAUAAAAGGAUAAAAAGGAAGGCAACACUCUGGUUCCGGGAAGUUCACUGCCCAUUUCAAGAGAAGACAUGAUUAUUCCUCCCCUUGAUUUUAAUGUCCAGCCUCUUCAUUAAAACAGCAACAACAACAAAGUCUAUAUUUUAACUUCCUCACCCCUCAUUAGUGGAGAAGCUGAUUUGUGAAUUUGUGAGCCAUGCUCCUGCUUCUCAAUUCCAUGGCCAUUGAAUAAAGCCUGUACUGCUUGACACUACUUUCGGUUUUGUGUGUUGGCUUCAUGACACCCAACAGGAUAAGACCCCAUUCUUUUGGGGCACCAGCUUUGUCGGUAAGAAGUU
rnacentral:lncRNA from 1 species